AAAAGCUCGUAGUUGGAUUUCUGUCGAGAACGCGCGGUCCACGCUUUGCGUGAGCAUCUGUGUCGGUCUUGGCAUCCUCUAGUGGAUCGUUUCUUCGCUUGAUUGCGUGGAGCGGAACGCUAGACUUUUACUUUGAGGAGAUUAGAGUGUUCACGGCAGGCAAACUCCUUGAAUAUAUUAGCAUGGAAUAAUAACAUAGGACCUUGGUUCUAUUUUGUUGGCUUCUAGAGCUGACGUAAUGAUUAAUAGGGAUAACUGGGGGCAUUCGUAUUAACGCGUCAGAGGUGGAAUUCUUGGAUUGCGUUACGACUUUUUACUGCGAAAGCAUUUGCCAAGGAUGUUUUCAUUGAUCAAGAACGAAAGUUAGGGGAUCGAAGACG
rnacentral:rRNA from 1 species